ACUAACAAGGAUUCCCCUAGUAACUGCGAGUGAAGCGGGAAAAGCUCAAAUUUAAAAUCUGGCGGUCUUUGGCCGUCCGAGUUGUAAUCUAGAGAAGUAAUGCCCGUGCUGGACCGUGUAUAAGUCUCCUGGGAUGGGGCGUCAUAGAGGGUGAGAAUCCCGUCUUUGACACGGACUACCAGUGCAUUGUGGUAUGCUCUCAAAGAGUCGAGUUGUUUGGGAAUGCAGCUCAAAAUGGGUGGUAAAUUCCAUCUAAAGCUAAAUAUUGGCGAGAGACCGAUAGCGAACAAGUACCGUGAGGGAAAGAUGAAAAGAACUUUGGAAAGAGAGUUAAACAGUACGUGAAAUUGCUGAAAGGGAAACGCUUGAAGUCAGUCGCGUUGGCCGGGGAUCAGCCUUGCUUUUUGCAUGGUGUACUUUCUGGUUGACGGGUCAGCAUCAAUUUUGACCACUGGAAAAGGCUCAAGGGAAUGUGGCAGCUUCGGCUGUGUUAUAGCCCCUGUUCACAUACAGUGGUCGGGAUUGAGGAACUCAGCACGCCGCAAGGCCGGGUUUCGACCACGUUCGUGCUUAGGAUGCUGGCAUAAUGGCUUUAAGCGACCCGUCUUGAAACACGGACCAAGGAGUCUAACAUGCCUGCGAGUAUUUGGGUGGAAAACCCAAGUGCGCAAUGAAAGUGAAAGUUGAGAUCCCUGUCGUGGGGAGCAUCGACGCCCGGACCAGAACUUUUGGGACGGAUCCGCGGUGGAGCAUGUAUGUUGGGACCCGAAAGAUGGUGAACUAUGCCUGAAUAGGGUGAAGCCAGAGGAAACUCUGGUGGAGGCUCGUAGCGAUUCUGACGUGCAAAUCGAUCGUCAAAUUUGGGUAUAGGGGC
rnacentral:rRNA from 1 species